rnacentral:rRNA from 1 species
AGCGAACGCUGGCGGCAGGCUUAACACAUGCAAGUCGAGCGGGCAUCCUUGUGGUGUCAGCGGCAGACGGGUGAGUAACGCGUGGGAACGUGCCCUUCGGUUCGGAAUAACUCAGGGAAACUUGAGCUAAUACCGGAUACGUGCGAGAGCAGAAAGGUUUAUCUGCCGAAGGAUCGGCCCGCGUCUGAUUAGCUAGUUGGUGAGGUUACGGCUCACCAAGGCGACGAGCAGUAGCUGGUCUGAGAGGAUGAUCAGCCACACUGGGACUGGGACACGGCCCAGCCUCCUACGGGAGGCAGCAGGGGGGUAUAUUGGACGCCGGGGUCAACCCUGAUCCAGCCAUGCCGCGUGAGUGAUGACGGCCUUAGGGUUGUAAAGCUCUUUUCUCCGGGACGAUAAUGACGGUACCGGAGGAAUAAGCCCCGGCUAACUUCGUG